UUGCGUUUGUUAAUCUCGUCUUUUUCGCUUUCUGUUUCAGAAAUCAAGACGGUUCUUUAUUACGUCACUCGCGACGUCACAUGCAAUAUCUCGGUUCAUAUUUGCUGCGUUCCGUUACGUCACAACUCGUCACAAUCGUUUUUUUACCAUUCACGUCCAUGUUAUGUCACAAGUUUCGUUACGUCAUAGCAGAACAAUACGCGUCUGUUUUAUACGUGCGUUCCGCGACGAUUUUUUUUUCAUGGGGCCCCAUGCGCGUUUUACGUCGAUGCAAGGCAUAUUACUUGUAUAUUCUAACCAUAUUUGCGCUAUUAGUGCGAAGCAAGAAAAUCAAGAAUUGGUAAAGUAUAAAUCACAAUUGGCAUUAUUACGUACAUUAGCUCUUUUCCAGAAUAAUCAGUCGAUGAUGUGACGUCACGAAGUGGUGAUGACGCAACAGAAGAACGCACUUCAACAUGUUGUGUGACGUCACAGAGGAUCAAGCGGACCAUGGAACGAAGGAAGAAUGAAGAAGAGUCGUCGAAUAAAGCUGCAGAGGAAAAGCGCAAGACGAAGAACAAAGACGAAGACGCCAGUUAAGGAUACACGGUUUGAGGUUAUGAGGUUUAUAGUACGAGUUGUGAGUUGUAUGUGUGUCUGCGCUGCUGUAUUUUUAUUCUGCUGGACCUAAUGUUGCCAGCGAUUUUGGUCAGUCACUACUAUGGUGCAUUUUGCAUUUCACUGAAAUAUCUGCAAUGAAACUAUGGCGAACAUCUUGCUGGAUCGGAUUUUGUUGUUGUACACGUCAUUAUGUGUUU